GGAGAGUUGGAUCCUGGCUCAGGAUGAACGCUGGCGGCGUGCCUAAUACAUGCAAGUCGUGCGAAUGGAUUUAGAGCUUGCUCUUAUGAAGUUAGCGGCUGACGGGUGAGUAACACGUGGGUAACCUGCCUAUAAGACUGGGAUAACUCCGGGAAACCGGGGCUAAUACCGGAUAACAUUUAGAACUGCAUGGUUCGAAAUUGAAAGGCGGCUUCGGCUGUCACUUAUGGAUGGACCCGCGUCGCAUUAGCUAGUUGGUGAGGUAACGCCUCACCAAGGCAACGAUGCGUAGCCGACCUGAGAGGGUGAUCGGCCACACUGGGACUGAGACACGGCCCAGACUCCUACGGGAGGCAGCAGUAGGGAAUGUUCCGCAAUGGACGAAAGUCUGACGGAGCAACGCCGCGUGAGUGAUGAAGGCUUUCGGGUCGUGAAACUCUGUUGUUAGGGAAGAACAAGUGCUAGUUGAAUAAGCUGGCACCUUGACGGUACCUAA
rnacentral:rRNA from 1 species